GUGGGGGACAUUCCACGUUUUCCGCGCCGUAGCUAACGCAUUAAGUGCCCCGCCUGGGGAGUACGGCCGCAAGGCUAAAACUCAAAGGAAUUGACGGGGGCCCGCACAAGCGGCGGAGCAUGCGGAUUAAUUCGAUGCAACGCGAAGAACCUUACCAAGGCUUGACAUGAACCGGAAAGACCUGGAAACAGGUGCCCCGCUUGCGGUCGGUUUACAGGUGGUGCAUGGUUGUCGUCAGCUCGUGUCGUGAGAUGUUGGGUUAAGUCCCGCAACGAGCGCAACCCUCGUUCUAUGUUGCCAGCGCGUUAUGGCGGGGACUCAUAGGAGACUGCCGGGGUCAACUC
rnacentral:rRNA from 1 species